rnacentral:tRNA from 1 species
UGUUCUGUGGCUUAGUUGGUUAAAGCGCCGGUCUAGCGAAUACGGAGUCGUGGGUUCGAAUCCCACCAG